GAUGAACGCUGGCGGCGUGCUUAACACAUGCAAGUCGAACGGUGAAGGCGGAGCUUGCUCUGCUGGAUCAGUGGCGAACGGGUGAGUAACACGUGAGCAAUCUGCCCCUGACUCUGGGAUAAGCGCUGGAAACGGCGUCUAAUACUGGAUACGAGCUGCGAAGGCAUCUUCAGCAGCUGGAAAGAAUUUCGGUCAGGGAUGAGCUCGCGGCCUAUCAGCUUGUUGGUGAGGUAAUGGAUCACCAAGGCGUCGACGGGUAGCCGGCCUGAGAGGGUGACCGGGCACACUGGGACUGAGACACGACCCAGACUCCUACGGGAGGCAGCAGUGGGGAAUAUUGCACAAUGGGCGAAAGCCUGAUGCAGCAACGCCGCGUGAGGGACGACGGCCUUCGGGUUGUAAACCUCUUUUAGCAGGGAAGAAGCGAAAGUGACGGUACCUGCAGAAAAAGCGCCGGCUAACUACGUG
rnacentral:rRNA from 1 species